UAUUGAAGUGGUGGCAUCUGAAGAUGCUGAAAUUUCUGAUGUUAUAAAUGACUUGUUAGAGCCAUCCACUAGAACUAUAGCGUUGCAGAAAUAUAUUUCUGUUGGAGAACAAUUUUAUCAAAGAGCCUAUGAUUUGGAUGCAAAAGUGCACAAGUUUGAGCAAAACAUACAUAGGCCUUAUUUUCAUGUGAAGUCGCUUGAUGACAAUCAGCUGCAUAAUUGGCCUCAAUACUUAGAUCUAGUUGAGGUGGAAGGUGAUUUUGACUGGGCUGUGAAACUAUAUGAAAAAUGCUUAAUUUCUUGUGCUCAUUACCCCGAGUUCUGGAUGCAUUAUGUUAAUUAUGCGGAGUCUAAGGGAGGAAGGGAAAUAGCAACUGAUGCUUUGGAGAGAGCGACACAUAUCUUUUAGAAGAAUGUGCCUGAGAUUCAUCUUUUCAAUGCUUGGUUUGAGGAGAAAAUAGGUGAUGUUGAUGGUGCACAGGCAGCAUUUCUGCAGUGUGACCAUGAAUUUGAAUCUUACUCCAUUGACACAAUCAGGAGGAAGGCCAAUAUGGAAAGGCACAUGGGAAACUAUGCCACAUCAUCCAGUAUAUACAAGGAAGCAAUUGAGUUGGCUGCAGACAAGAGCCCAGAGACACUUCCAAUGUUGUAUGUGCAUUUUGCACGUCUUCAAUACAUGGUAGGUAAUUCUUCAUUCCAUCAUUUCUUCAUCUUAGAUAUUUUUCUGUUCUUUUUUGUGAUGAAAAAUCUACCUCCUCUGUUCCAGGAGCAUAAACAUAAAAUUUUUCUUCUGUAUGUCACAUGGUAAAAAAAUGCAAUACUUGAUGUGAUUAUGUGUAUUUUAGCAGCAGGAACCAGGAGAUGAGGUGACGCACCUGGUUCUAGUAGGCAGCACAUUAAUGAGUUUGUUUCUUUUUGAAGGUCAAAUUUGUAUGUGUUGUCUUUUAAAAGUUCGAAAUGAAUGUGAAGGAUAUGAUGAUUCAAAGUAAGAAACUUUAAGGAAGUGAAAAGUAGAAAUUAAGAUCAAUGUUCACAUUCAAUGUAAGAAAACUAAUCCAACCUUAACACUGAGUUGCAGUUCAAGAAGUUUCAAGGCAUCGAGACUAGCAAAAGUCUAAA